CCUUCAGCUUGGUGUCAAUGUGACGUUCCACCUGCAGUCCGUCAUCCCAGGUAUAAAACCCCCUUCAGCUUGGUGUCAAUGUGACGUUCCACCUGCAGUCCGUCAUCCCAGGUAUAAAACCCCCUUCAGCUUGGUGUCAAUGUGACGUUCCACCUGCAGCCCGUCAUCCCAGGUACAGAUAAAACCCCCUUCAGCUUGGUGUCAAUGUGACGUUCCACCUGCAGCCCGUCAUCCCAGGUAUAAAACCCCCUUCAGCUUGGUGUCAAUGUGACGUUCCACCUGCAUUCCGUCAUCCCAGGUAUAAAACCCCUUCAGCUUGGUGUCAAUGUGACGUUCCACCUGCAGUCUGUCAUCCUAGGUAUAAAACCCCUUCAGCUUGGUGUCAAUGUGACGUUCCACCUGCAGUCCGUCAUCCCAGGUAUAAAACCCCUUCAGCUUGGUGUCAAUGUGACGUUCCACCUGCAGUCUGUCAUCCUAGGUAUAAAACCCCUUCAGCUUGGUGUCAAUGUGACGUUCCACCUGCAGUCCGUCAUCCCAGGUAUAAAACCCCUUCAGCUUGGUGUCAAUGUGACGUUCCACCUGCAGUCCGUCAUCCCAGGUAUAAAACCCCUUCAGCUUGGUGUCAAUGUGACGUUCCACCUGCAGUCCGUCAUCCCAGGUAUAAAACCCCUUCAGCUUGGUGUCAAUGUGACGUUCCACCUGCAGUCCGUCAUCCCAGGUAUAAAACCCCCUUCAGCUUGGUGUCAAUGUGACGUUCCACCUGCAGUCCGUCAUCCCAGGUACAGAUAAAAAACCCUUCAGCUUGGUGUCAAUGUGACGUUCCACCUGCAGUCUGUCAUCCCAGGUAUAAAACCCCCUUCAGCUUGGUGUCAAUGUGACGUUCCACCUGCAGCCCGUCAUCCCAGGUAUAAAACCCCUUCAGCUUGGUGUCAAUGUGACGUUCCACCUGCAGUCCGUCAUCCCAGGUAUAAAACCCCUUCAGCUU